UACGUAGGGUGCAAGCGUUUGAUCGGAAUACUGGGCGUAAAGCGUGCGCAGGCGGUGAUGUAAGACAGGUGUGAAAUCCCCGGGCUUAACCUGGGAACUGCAUUUGUGACUGCAUCGCUGGAGUGCGGCAGAGGGGAUGGAAUUCCGCGUGUAGCAGUGAAAUGCGUAGAUAUGCGGAGGAACACCGAUGGCGAAGGCAAUCCCUGGGCCUGCACUGACGCUCAUGCACGAAAGCGUGGGGAGCAAACAGG
rnacentral:rRNA from 1 species